GCGGAUGUAGCUCAGUGGGAGAGCGCCGGAUUUGGAUCCGGAGGUCGGGGGUUCAAUUCCCUUCAUCUGCACCA
rnacentral:tRNA from 3 species